UACGUAGGUGGCAAGCGUUGUCCGGAUUUACUGGGCGUAAAGAGCGCGCAGGCGGUCGUUCAAGUCGCGUGUGAAAGCCCCCGGCUCAACUGGGGAGGGUCACGCGAUACUGAUCGACUCGAAGGCAGGAGAGGGUAGUGGAAUUCCCGGUGUAGUGGUGAAAUGCGUAGAUAUCGGGAGGAACACCAGUGGCGAAGGCGACUACCUGGCCUGUUCUUGACGCCUGAGGCGCGAAAGCUAGGGGAGCAAACGGG
rnacentral:rRNA from 1 species